rnacentral:lncRNA from 1 species
CCGGCGCCGCGGGAGCCCUACGCUGUGCUCACGCGCUGCUCCUCGGGCUACCCUGGAAUCCUGCUGCCCUUUCCUAUUUCUAAAACGCCAUUGGGCUGGAAGCUGCCUCGAGUGGCCUCUGACCCUAGAGCCGUCUUAGAAAAACCGGAUACUCUGUACUGGGGAAGAGAAGCGAUCCUCACUGGCUCGCGGGGAUGUUAGCGACAGAUUUGUGGACGGAACUGUCCUCGGUAUCUUCAGAUAGGAAUCUGAAUCCAGAAGAGAAAAAGGCAGCUGCCCGAGUUUCCAAGAGCUUCCUGAUUGAUAGGUUCCAACUUUUCGGGUCACUGGAGUGCUUUCUGUUUUCCUACCAGCACACUAUGUUAAAUAGCCUAGUGAUACGGGAUUGACCCUUGACAGUUAAGGAUGACUUCUGGGAGAAUGCCAAGUGCUACAAAAUUAAGUGAACGAGACAGGUAUGGACCAGACUAGUCAGCUGGACUGAACAAAUGGAGGAAACCACAACAGAUGCAUUUUGAGAUGCUGGAUCAUCUGAAUCAUUUGUCUUCCUUGGUGUCUGGACCACUUGUUCUGAAAAUAAAUCAACUUUUAAAGG